rnacentral:rRNA from 1 species
GUCCUACGGGGCGCAGCAGUGGGGAAUAUUGCACAAUGGGGGAAACCCUGAUGCAGCGACGCCGCGUGAGCGAUGAAGUAUUUCGGUAUGUAAAGCUCUAUCAGCAGGGAAGAAAAUGACGGUACCUGACUAAGAAGCCCCGGCUAACUACGUGCCAGCAGCCGCGGUAAUACGUAGGGGGCAAGCGUUAUCCGGAUUUACUGGGUGUAAAGGGAGCGUAGACGGCAAUGCAAGACAGAUGUGAAAGCCCGCGGCUCAACCGCGGAAUGGCUUUGGAAACUUUUUUGCUGGAGUACCGGAGAGGG